rnacentral:rRNA from 1 species
GUUCAGGAUGAACGCUAGCUACAGGCUUAACACAUGCAAGUCGAGGGGCAGCAUGGUCUUAGCUUGCUAAGGCCGAUGGCGACCGGCGCACGGGUGAGUAACACGUAUCCAACCUGCCGUCUACUCUUGGACAGCCUUCUGAAAGGAAGAUUAAUACAAGAUGGCAUCAUGAGUCCGCAUGUUCACAUGAUUAAAGGUAUUCCGGUAGACGAUGGGGAUGCGUUCCAUUAGAUAGUAGGCGGGGUAACGGCCCACCUAGUCUUCGAUGGAUAGGGGUUCUGAGAGGAAGGUCCCCCACAUUGGAACUGAGACACGGUCCAAACUCCUACGGGAGGCAGCAGUGAGGAAUAUUGGUCAAUGGGCGCAAGCCUGAACCAGCCAAGUAGCGUGAAGGAUGACUGCCCUAUGGGUUGUAAACUUCUUUUAUAAAGGAAUAAAGUCGGGUAUGGAUACCCGUUUGCAUGUACUUUAUGAAUAAGGAUCGGCUAACUCCGUGCCAGCAGCCGCGGUAAUACGGAGGAUCCGAGCGUUAUCCGGAUUUAUUGGGUUUAAAGGGAGCGUAGAUGGAUGUUUAAGUCAGUUGUGAAAGUUUGCGGCUCAACCGUAAAAUUGCAGUUGAUACUGGAUAUCUUGAGUGCAGUUGAGGCAGGCGGAAUUCGUGGUGUAGCGGUGAAAUGCUUAGAUAUCACGAAGAACUCCGAUUGCGAAGGCAGCCUGCUAAGCUGCAACUGACAUUGAGGCUCGAAAGUGUGGGUAUCAAACAGGAUUAGAUACCCUGGUAGUCCACACGGUAAACGAUGAAUACUCGCUGUUUGCGAUAUACUGCAAGCGGCCAAGCGAAAGCGUUAAGUAUUCCACCUGGGGAGUACGCCGGCAACGGUGAAACUCAAAGGAAUUGACGGGGGCCCGCACAAGCGGAGGAACAUGUGGUUUAAUUCGAUGAUACGCGAGGAACCUUACCCGGGCUUAAAUUGCAGAUGAAUUACGGUGAAAGCCGUAAGCCGCAAGGCAUCUGUGAAGGUGCUGCAUGGUUGUCGUCAGCUCGUGCCGUGAGGUGUCGGCUUAAGUGUCAUAACGAGCGCAACCCUUGUUGUCAGUUACUAACAGGUUCCGCUGAGGACUCUGACAAGACUGCCAUCGUAAGAUGUGAGGAAGGUGGGGAUGACGUCAAAUCAGCACGGCCCUUACGUCCGGGGCUACACACGUGUUACAAUGGGGGGUACAGAGGGCCGCUACCACGCGAGUGGAUGCCAAUCCCAAAAACCUCUCUCAGUUCGGACUGGAGUCUGCAACCCGACUCCACGAAGCUGGAUUCGCUAGUAAUCGCGCAUCAGCCACGGCGCGGUGAAUACGUUCCCGGGCCUUGUACACACCGCCCGUCAAGCCAUGGGAGCCGGGGGUACCUGAAGUGCGUAACCGCGAGGAGCGCCCUAGGGUAAAACUGG